AAUGUUAUAGGACGAACUUAUUAUGACGACCAUAGAGCUGUGAAUAUUUAUAUACUCGGUUGUUGUUCGGUGCUCAGUGAUAACGAUUUUGUGUUUUAGUGUAAAACAUUUGUCUUCGACUUAUACUUAUUAGAAUAUCUACGUAGAAGUAGUUGUUUAACACAAAACUGCCGAGCAGUUAAAUUGACAUUUCGAAAUUUUUUUACAGAAACUCUAAAGAGUAACGUCUGGUAUCUGUUUAAUAAUUGCAAAAAGAAGAAAUCAGGAAUGAGUCAUUUUGACCCGACUGGUAGUUUUAGUGUUAAAAAAAUUAUUAAACAAUUUCUAGUCAUCCACUAUAAUGAGUUACGAACAAUGAAAUGAUACUGAAAGUGAGCAAUUGAUUUAAGAAAUUGUGGGAACAUUUUGAAAAAAUUGUAGCUUUAACUAAUAGAUGUCUGAGCGUUGUGAAGAAUUCCUCAUAUUGCGCAAGUGAGCAGGUACAAAAAAUUACACAAAUCAAGACUUCAAUUGCACUUGUAUAUACUAUACGUAUAUACUAAAAAGUAUAAUACACGUUUUUUUAUUUUAACUGUAAC